CCACCAAUACGGGGGCCAGACAGAGCUGAUGUAUAUAUUCACAUAUGUAUAUAUGGUUUUGAAACAAUUAUUAUUAUUCCUUCCAUGUAAGGCAGUGUGCAGGCCGAAUCAGCAAAACCAUUCAGGAUCAUUCAAAUACAUUGAGAUAUCUUGUCCAUGGACAAACAAGUAAUCAAUUAGUCCCCUGCCCCCUAAUUUCAGGCCCCUUGCCCUAUAUUUAAAAGGAAGGAUUUAUUACCAUUAGUAUUCUUUUAAUGAGGAAGAAGUUUUCUCUAGGUUUCAUUGGUGAUUUCUUCAUUGAUACUGUCGUCAUCAUCAUCAUCAUCAUCACAAUGAAAAUUACUACAAGGCUGUGCGGUAAGACAUAUGCUUCCCAACCACAUGGUUCCGGGGUUCAGUCCCACUGCAUGGCACCUUGAGCAAGCAUCUGUUAUAGCUUUGUGCCAGCCGAAUCCUUGUGAGUGGAUUUGGAGGGUGGAAACCAAAAGAAGUCCAUCAUAUAUGUGUAUAUAUAUAUAUAUGCGUGUUUCUGUAUGUGUACCACCUGACAACUGGUGUUGGUGUGUUUACAUCCCCGUAAGCUAGCAUAUCAGCAAAAGCAACUGUAGAAGUAUGGGUUUGAUUGCUUUGACUACAAAAUUCUCCACAGCAUGGCCAGUGAAAGAUAUUUAUAGAAUAGAAGGAAAAACCUGAAGUAGGGUUCUUAGGGUAAGGCCCCACUUCCCCAUUGUAAUUCUGAUUAUAUUAAAACUGUUUCAACAUUGUUUUA